rnacentral:misc_RNA from 1 species
GAUGAAGAACGUAGCGAAAUGCGAUAAGUAAUGUGAAUUGCAGAAUUCAGUGAAUCAUCGAGUCUUUGAACGCACAUUGCGCCCCCUGGUAUUCCGGGGGGCAUGCCUGUCCGAGCGUCAUUGCCGCCCUCAAGCACGGCUUGUGUGUUGGGCCCCCGCCCCCCGGCUUCGGGGGGCGGGCCCGAAAGGCAGCGGCGGCACCGCGUCCGGUCCUCGAGCGUAUGGGGCUUCGUCACCCGCUCUGUAGGCCCGGCCGGCGCCCGCCGGCGACCCCAAUCAAUCUUUCCAGGUUGACCUCGGAUCAGGUAGAGAUACCCGCUGAACUUAAGCAUAUCAAUAAGCGGAGGA